GAUGAACGCUAGCUACAGGCUUAACACAUGCAAGUCGAGGGGAAACGACAUCGAAAGCUUGCUUUUGAUGGGCGUCGACCGGCGCACGGGUGAGUAACGCGUAUCCAACCUGCCCACCACUUGGGGAUAACCUUGCGAAAGUAAGACUAAUACCCAAUGAUAUCCCACGAAGGCAUCCGAAUGGGAUUAAAGAUUUAUCGGUGAUGGAUGGGGAUGCGUCUGAUUAGCUUGUUGGCGGGGUAACGGCCCACCAAGGCAACGAUCAGUAGGGGUUCUGAGAGGAAGGUCCCCCACAUUGGAACUGAGACACGGUCCAAACUCCUACGGGAGGCAGCAGUGAGGAAUAUUGGUCAAUGGGCGAGAGCCUGAACCAGCCAAGUAGCGUGCAGGAUGACGGCCCUAUGGGUUGUAAACUGCUUUUAUAAGGGAAUAAAGUGGGUCUCGUGAGACUUUUUGCAUGUACCUUAUGAAUAAGGACCGGCUAAUUCCGUG
rnacentral:rRNA from 1 species